rnacentral:rRNA from 1 species
GACGAACGCUGGCGGCGUGCCUAAUACAUGCAAGUAGGACGCAGUUGCGAACGUGUGAGUAACGCGUAGGUAACUACCUAUUAGAGGGGGAUAACUAUUGGCAACGAUAGCUAAUACCGCAUACUAGUAGAUGGACCUGCGUUGUAUUAGCUAGUAGGUAGGGUAAAGGCCUACCUAGGCAACGAUACAUAGCCGACCUGGAGGGGUGAUCGGCCACACUGGGACGGAGACACGGCCCAGACUCCUACGGGAGGCAGCAGUGGGGAAUCUUCGGCAAUGGGUGGAACCCUGACCGAGCAACGCCGCGUGAGUGAAGACGGUUUUCGGAUCGUAAAGCUCUGUUGUUAAGGAAGCGGUACUUAACCAGAAAGGGACGGCUAACUACGUGCCAGCAGCCGCGGUAAUUC